AUACGUAGGGGGCGAGCGUUGUCCGGAAUGAUUGGGCGUAAAGGGCGCGUAGGCGGCCCGGUAAGUCUGGAGUGAAAGUCCUGCUUUUAAGGUGGGAAUUGCUUUGGAUACUGUCGGGCUUGAGUGCAGGAGAGGUAAGUGGAAUUCCCAGUGUAGCGGUGAAAUGCGUAGAGAUUGGGAGGAACACCAGUGGCGAAGGCGACUUACUGGACUGUAACUGACGCUGAGGCGCGAAAGUGUGGGGAGCAAACAGGAUUAGAUACCCUGGUAGUCCACACUGUAAACGAUGACAACUAAAUAUUGCCGCGAGGCAGUGUUGAAGCUAACGCAUUAAGUUGUCCGCCUGGGGAGUACGGUCGCAAGACUGAAACUUAAAGGAAUUGACGGGG
rnacentral:rRNA from 1 species